rnacentral:SRP_RNA from 1 species
GCCAGGCACUGUAGUGCAUGCCUGUAGUCUCAGCUAUUCGGGAAGCUGAGGUGGGAGGUUUGCUUGAGCCCUGGGGUUCUGGGAUGUAGUGCAUUAUGCUAAUCGAUUGUCUGCACUAAGUUCAGAAUCAAUACGGUGACAUCCCAGGAGUGGGUGACCACCAGGUUGCCCAAGUAGGGGUGAACUGGCCUAGGUUAGAAACAGAGAAGGUCAAAACUCCUAUGCUGAUCAGUAGUGGGAUUGCACUUGUGAAUAGCCACUGCACUCUAGCCUGGGCAACAUAUUGAGACCCCGUCUCU